rnacentral:rRNA from 1 species
UGUGCCCCAGAUCGUUACCGUGAAAAAAUUAGAGUGUUCAAAGCAGGCAGAUCCAAUUUUCUGCCACCGAAUACAUUAGCAUGGGAUAAUGGAAUAGGACCCUGUCCUCCUAUUUUCAGUUGGUUUUGGCACGCGAGGACCACGGUAAUGAUUAAUAGGGAUAGUUGGGGGCAUUAAUAUUUAAUUGUCAGAGGUGAAAUUCUUGGAUUUAUGAAAGAUUAACUUCUGCGAAAGCAUCUGCCAAGGAUGUUUUCAUUAAUCAAGAACGAAAGUUAGGGGAUCGAAGACGAUCAGAUACCGUCGUAGUCUUAACCAUAAACGAUGCCGACCAGCGAUUAGGAGACGUUGAAUACAAAACACCACCAUAGGUGCGGUCGUCCCGGCA